AUGGCUGCUCUCCUGGUCCUCUCCUCUGACAUUUUCUGGAUGUGUGAAAUCUCCAGCUGCAGUUCUAUCUUCCACAUCCUGAACCAGAACAACCUUGUGCUGACCUGGAUGACUCAGCUGGAACAUGGCAAAAAACCACUCAGAACUUUGAAUCUGUGCUGGCUUCAUUUGAUCAAGAAUACUCUAGAAAAAGAAGAGGAGGCAGAAGAAUAACUAUAAAGGAGGAAGCAUUAUACAUUUUCUUAAGCACCUAUAAUGUGCCAGAUGUUCUUCGAGAUGCUGGGGCUACAGUGGUAAGCAAGUGCUAUCUCUGUGGAGUUCACAUGUUAAUAGAAGGAAAAAGUGUUUUUAAUGUGCUUAUUAUCUAAAAUAUUUUCAAGUACCGAAGUGCGUAUUAUCUAAAAUAUUUUCAAGUACUGACAAAUACUAUGAAGAGGCUAAAAGAGGAUAAUGUGGUAAAGCAUGACUAGUAUGAAGAAGUUCCCUCUGAAAGGUGACAUUCAAGGAGUUCCUGUUGUGGCACAGUGGAAGCAAAUCCAACUAGGAACCAUGAGAUUUCAGGUUCAAUCCCUGGCCUCUCUCAGUGGGUUAAGGAGCCAUUGUUGCCAUGAGUUGUGGUAUAGGUCACAGACACGGCUUAGAUCUAACAUUGCUGUGGCUGUGGUGUAGGCCCAAGGCUGUAGCUCUGAUUCAACCCCUAGCCUGGGAACCUCCAUAUGCCGUGGGCGAGGCCCUCAAAAGACAAAAGACUAAAUAAAUACAUAAAUAAAUGGAUAAAAGGUGACA
rnacentral:lncRNA from 1 species